rnacentral:rRNA from 1 species
UACGGGGGGGGCAAGCGUUGUUCGGAAUUACUGGGCGUAAAGGGCGCGUAGGCGGCCUGCUAAGUCACACGUGAAAUCCCUCGGCUCAACCGGGGAACUGCGUGUGAUACUGGCGGGCUUGAAUUCGGGAGAGGGAUGUGGAAUUCCAGGUGUAGCGGUGAAAUGCGUAGAUAUCUGGAGGAACACCGGUGGCGAAGGCGGCGUUCUGGACUGCUACUGACACUGAGGAACGAAAGCCAGGGGAGCAAACGGG